rnacentral:rRNA from 1 species
CCUACGGGAGGCUGCAGUGGGGAAUAUUGGACAAUGGGGGCAACCCUGAUCCAGCCAUGCCGCGUGUGUGAAGAAGGCCCUCGGGUUGUAAAGCACUUUCAGUGAGGAAGAACGCCUGGUGGUUAAUACCCAUCAGGAAAGACAUCACUCACAGAAGAAGCACCGGCUAACUCCGUGCCAGCAGCCGCGGUAAUACGGAGGGUGCGAGCGUUAAUCGGAAUUACUGGGCGUAAAGCGCGCGUAGGUGGCUUGAUAAGCCGGUUGUGAAAGCCCCGGGCUCAACCUGGGAACGGCAUCCGGAACUGUCAAGCUAGAGUGCAGGAGAGGAAGGUAGAAUUUCCGGUGUAGCGGUGAAAUGCGUAGAGAUCGGGAGGAAUACCAGUGGCGAAGGCGGCCUUCUGGACUGACACUGACACUGAGGUGCGAAAGCGUGGGUAGCAAACAGGAUUAGAUACCCCAGUAGUC